rnacentral:rRNA from 1 species
GUCCUUUUGGAUUUUUAUUUAAGGUCUAGUCCGCCCACUGAAUUUAUAUUUUAAAUGGCCGCAGUAUUUUGACUGUGCAAAGGUAGCAYAAUCAUUAGUUUUUUAAUUAAAAGCUUGUAUGAAAGGCUGGACGAGGUAAAAUCUGUCUCUAUUUAAAUUAUUAUAGAAUUUAACUUUUAAGUUAAAAGGCUUAAAUAUUAUUAAAAGACGAGAMGACCCUAUAGAUCUUUAUAAUUUAUUAAAUUAAAUUAAUUUAGAAAUAUUAAUGUUUUAUUUAAUUAAAUUAUUUUAUUGGGGUAAUAGAAAGAUUGAAUUAAUUCUUUUUUUUAAUAAACAUUUAUUUAUGAAUAUUAAUGAUCCAGUUUUACUGAUUAUAAGAUUAAGUUACCUUAGGGAUAACAGCGUAAUUUUUUUAGAGAGUUCAUAUCGAUAAAAAAGUUUGCGACCUCGAUGUUGGAUUAAAGAUUAUUUUAGGUGCAGAAGCUUAAUAAUUUUGGUCUGUUCGACCAUUGAAUCUUUAC